GACGAACGCUGGCGGCGUGCCUAAUACAUGCAAGUAGAACGCUGAAGAGAGGAGCUUGCUCUUCUUGGAUGAGUUGCGAACGGGUGAGUAACGCGCAGGUAACCUGCCUUGUAGCGGGGGAUAACUAUUGGAAACGAUAGCUAAUACCGCAUAACAAUGGAUGACACAUGUCAUUUAUUUGAAAGGGGCAAUUGCUCCACUACAAGAUGGACCUGCGUUGUAUUAGCUAGUAGGUGAGGUAAUGGCUCACCUAGGCGACGAUACAUAGCCGACCUGAGAGGGUGAUCGGCCACACUGGGACUGAGACACGGCCCAGACUCCUACGGGAGGCAGCAGUAGGGAAUCUUCGGCAAUGGGGGCAACCCUGACCGAGCAACGCCGCGUGAGUGAAGAAGGUUUUCGGAUCGUAAAGCUCUGUUGUAAGUCAAGAACGGGUGUGAGAGUGGAAAGUUCACACUGUGACGGUAGCUUACCAGAAAGGGACGGCUAACUACGUG
rnacentral:rRNA from 1 species